CUCCUGUGCACAAGGGCAGCUCGGGGUAACUGGAUUACAGGCAUGUGCGGGCUCUGCCUUUACAGACCUCACCAGAGCAAAUGAGGACUUGGCCCCAUGGCCUGCCUCCACCAACUAUACCUGCCUCCAUGAUUUCCUCCAAGAAGAAAUGAAAAUCUUAUGGAUCCAGGAGCCAUUACUAGGCAUCUGCAACACCACCAACGCAAGGCCUGUGAGGGCAGAGAGAGGGACAGCACAGGAGUGCCCUGGACAAGCACACCCUGCAGUCCCAGAAGAACGGGGCAGAUGGGGAAGGCGGUUGAUCCUGGCUGGCCAAAAGAUCUGACCAACUCAGGGUAAAAUUCACAUAAUUCUGUUGCCUUCCUCUUCUUAUCGUUUUGGCCACUUGCUGUGGUUUGAAAAGUGAAUUCUGCAGGGCCUGCCUGCCUGCAGAGCUCUCCCAGUGCGAGGCAACCCUGAGGCUACAGAGAGGCAGCCACAGCUUACGAUGGAUCUGAAAAGAGGCUGUAAAACUGGACAGCUGAACCCCAUACAAAGAGCGGGCCUCUCCCAUGUUAAGCCUUGAAGUUGCAGGACCUCCAUCAAUGCACGCUUCAGUGUCCCCUCCUCUGCGACAAUGUCACAGCCUACAUCUGGUAGGCAGACCCUUCUACUGGCCUCUUCCUCCAGCCCCUGUGCCCUCAACACUUCCUGAGCCUCUGCAGAGGAGGCGGCCUCCUCCUUUCAGACACAGCCCAGACUCAGCAUCCUUUACAGCAGGCAGGGGACUGGAAGAGCAGUCUCGCUGUGGGGAGAGCAUACACACUGAGGGAGCCCCACGCUGUCCGGAAAGGGGAGGUGUUGUGGUGGGAAAAGGAGGAACAACAGCCAGCUAACACUUAUUAGGGUGCUUCCCUCACUCCUCUAAAACCCUCCUUAUUUGGUGUCUGUAGUUAGAGCCUGAGAAAGGGAUUCUUGUGCACUUACUUAAUGGCUUACUGUGGUUUCUCCUGAACGCUUGCAGAAAGGGGUGUUGGCUGGGGACCGGCCAACUGCGCCUGGUCCCAGGAGAGCUCUAGGGUGUGAACUGCACCACAGGUGGUCCCACUUUGAGGCAAGAGGCAGACUCUGUGCUCCCCUGGGUGUCAGUCCUUGGCUGUUGGCUGGUAAUGCGGGUGGGGGGGGGGGGGGAAGGGGGGCAAGUGUCAGCUGUGAGCUGUGGCAGCCACAGCUGAGAAAGUACUCACCAUAUCCACUACAUGUAGUUUCCACUAGUCUUUCCAGUCUUCCCUCUGCUAGCUCUUGCUCCUCUGACCUCUGCCGGCAAGUGCCAGGGCUCAGCUGCGACCCUUCUCUCUACCCUGACUUCCUACUGAUCUAGUCUCAUCUUUAGAUCCAAACACUGAAGACCUCCAAAUUCUUACCUUCAAUACGUUACUCCACAUCCUAUCUGAGAUCCCUACUUGCAUGCCUAAAAGACAACACAAACUUAGCACAUCCCUAAUGGUUCUCUGGACUGGUUUUCCUGUAAGGCUGCUCCUCCUCAGUGCUCUCCACUCAUGUGAACGACCCCCAUCUGCUGCAUGAGUCCUAGAGAGCAAAGCAGACUCCCUUCCCUGCCCCUCAGGCUCCUCAGCUAUUGCGGGGGAGGGGGCUGUCUGGGCAGAGACAUGGUGCUGAUCCCCAGGAUAAGGCAAGUCUCACAUACUGCUCACAUCCCCUAUGUGGUGGGGAAGUAAUAAACUGAUGAAAAACUCAGUGCCAAAGACAUCACUCUUUGCCUGAUCUUUAUUACCACCCCAGUUCUGUUUUAACAGUGGUACUAGGUCCUACGUGGUUUUUAGAUGUGAGUUUAAUGCUCAUAAAAAAAAUUCCCUUGUCUAAACUAGAAACGAGGGAAGAAACUCAAAGAAAGGAAUUGUAAAUGCGUCUGAAGACACUGAUGCACUAUAUAAAUAUUAGCUCUUGGAGUUAUGGCCAAAGUGUAAACAACUUUUUAGAUUUCUAAAUAAACUUUAAAUUUUAGGAGAGUUUUAGAUUUACAGAAUAAUCACAAAGAUAGUACAGAGGUCCCACAUGCUCCCCCACCCAGUCCCUGAUUAUUAAUCUCUUACAGUAGUAUAUUUGUCACAAUUAACUGACCAAUAUGGACCUAUCACUACUGAUUAAAGUCCAUAUUCUAUUCAACUUUUCUUAGUUUUAAUCUAGUGUCCUUUAUCUAUUCCAGGAUCCCAUCUAGAAUAUUGCAUUUCAUUGCCAUGUCUCUUUAGGCUCCUUUUGACUAUGACAGUUUUUCCGACUUCCUUUGUUUUUGGUGACCUUGACAGUUUUAAGGAGGGCUCAUGAAGUAUUUUGUUGAAUAUCCCUCAGGUGAGAUUUGUCUGAUGUCUUCCCAUGCUAGGCUGAAGUUAAGGGUUGUCCUUCCCAUCACAUCACAUCACAUCAUUGGUGCACACUCUCAAUAGGAUGUAUCAAUGCUGACAUGAACUUUGCUCACCUGGUUGAGCACUUGGUUCACUGUCAAGUUACUCUUUCUUCCCCCUUUCCACACUGUACUCUUUGGAAGGAAGUGACUGACCAUGGGCAGCCUACAUUUAAGGAGUAGUGAAUUAUGCUCCACCUCUGAGAAAGGGGUAUCUACAUAAAUUAUUUAUAACUCCUCUGCCUGGGAGAUUUGCCUAUUCUUCUCCAUUUAUUUAGUUAUUUUACCAGUAUAGACACAUGGAUAUUUACUUUAUAGUUUGGGUUAUAAUCUGAUACUACUUCAUCUGUUUUAUUGCCCAAAUUUUCCAGCUUUGGCCACUAGGAGCUCUUUUGGGUGGUUCCUAUAUCCCCCUGUCAUAUCCGCACCAUUGUGUGUGUUUAUUUGUUGAGCACCACCUUACUUUCUGACACUGCAAGAUGCCCCAGAUCCAUCACGUAUAUUUCCUGUUCUAGUCCUUGAAUUACACAUUUCUCCAUGGAGUCCUGGUUCCUUUUACUAGAAAAUGGCAUGAGAGGGGUGCCUGGGGGGCUCUCACAGUUAAGCAUCUGACUCUUGAUAUUGGCUCAGGUUUUCAUCUCGAGGUCGUGGGAUUCAGCCCCGCAUUGGGCUCCAUGCUAAGCAUGGAGCCUGCUUGGGAUUCUCAUUCUCGCUCUCUCUCUCUCUCUCUCUCUCUCUUUCCUGCUUGUGCCCGCAUGCACGCUCUUUCUUUCAAAAUAAAUAAGCACUGGGGCACCUGGGUGGCUCAGUGGUUGCGAGUCCAACUUCAGCUCAGGUCAUGAUCUCACACCUAGUGAGCUAGAGCCUUGCAUCAGGCUCUGUUGACAGCUCAGAGCCUGGAGCCUGCUUUGGAUUCUGUGUCUCCCUCUCUCUCUGACCCUCCCCCACUUGUGAUCUCUCUCUCUCUCAAAAAUAAACAUCAAAAAAUUUUUAAAAAUAAACAUUUAAAAAAUAUGGAACACAGAAAAACAUGAAAUAAUCUCCUGGGGGUAUCAUUAGUAAAAAUCCACUUAUCGUACAGAAUUUCUCUUGUUCUGGGUUUUCCUAAUGCAAGGAAAACAAUAAAGGAAUGAGAAACGUACAGAUUAAAAGAUUAAAAAAAAAAAACAUAUAACCUAAUGCAGUGCAUGUAACAGACCUUGUUUGGGUUUGACUCUUAAAAUUCAAAAAUAAGAGCAACCCAAUCUUUUCUAGAAGGUAUAAGAGUUGAAAAGACCUUUCACCAAAGAAAAUACACAAAUGGAAAAUGAGCAUAUGAAAAGAUGCUCAAUAUCAUUAGUCGCUAAGAAAUGCUAACUAAAAGCACAGUGAGACAAUGCUACACCUACUGAAAUGACUAACAUUAACAUUUGGGAAUACUUAGCACUUGUGUGUUCAAAUCCCAGCUUUUCUUAAUUGAUCCUUGUACCCCUCUGAUAUAAACAAAGGAAAUAUAAUACCUGCUCCCCUGGUAUAAAUUUCAUAAGUAUUAAGUCAGGUCCAAUAGUGUCUUCCAAUAGAAAGGCUAAUGGUCUUGAACUUGCUCCUACUGGUAAUGGAAAGCCACUUAAAACUGUUAUUCUUUUCUUAAUAUGUAUACUUUAUAUAGAUAUCAGAUAUCUGUGAUAUAUAUUAUACACAAAGUACUAAGAACAUUCUUCUUGAGGCUUAAGGUUGUAUUUUAGUUAGUAUUCAUUCAAUCGUACAAUUAUGUGCCAGGCAGUGCAUUUCAAAAAAGGAAUGGAGAAUAUACCAGAAUCCUAAGAUUUAGGGGCAAGGCUGGGGGGGAGGGAGGGAUUGUGGGAUCUGAAAAAGCAUAUUAAGUAUAAUUGCUUUGAUUUGCUUUUUUAAAAAUUUGCUACUGAAGUAUAAUACAUAUGCUCUAAUAGAUUUUUAGUCAUUUCCUUUGAAAUUUCAAAUAAUAUUAAAGGAGGAUGUGAGAGUUUUAUCAAAAAAAAAAAAAAGACAUGAGUUUUAAGAAACGCUGGCUACCAUACAGAACUAAAUGUGACUUAUAAAACAGGACUCACACACUUACACAGAAAGCUUAAAACCAGUUUCACAUGUACCAAUGUCAAUUAAAACACCAUAUUAGUAUUUCCUUUUACUCGUAUUUAUUACUUCCCGAAUAACAACUGUGAAACAAUCCCACUGCAUACCUUGGAAUGAAUUUCUCAAUAAGUAACACACUUUUCAAGUGGUGAGACAGAUAAAGUGAAAAAAACUGAAAAUGGAAGAAUGUGUUAAAAUAAAUUCUAACAGGUGUAGGGUUGUCUCACUUUGAUUUUAAAUUAGUAUUCUGA